rnacentral:rRNA from 1 species
UACGCUGGCAGUGCGUCUUAAGCAUGCAAGUCAAACGGGAUGUAGCAAUACAUCUAGUGGCGAACGGGUGAGUAACGCGUGGAUGAUCUACCUACGAGAUGGGGAUAACUAUUAGAAAUAGUAGCUAAUACCGAAUAAAGUCAAUNAAUUUGUUAAUUGAUGAAAGGAAGCCUUUAAAGCUUCGCUUGUAGAUGAGUCUGCGUCUUAUUAGCUAGUUGGUAGGGUAAAUGCCUACCAAGGCGAUGAUAAGUAACCGGCCUGAGAGGGUGAACGGUCACACUGGAACUGAGAUACGGUCCAGACUCCUACGGGAGGCAGCAGCUAAGAAUCUUCCGCAAUGGGCGAAAGCCUGACGGAGCGACACUGCGUGAAUGAAGAAGGUCGAAAGAUUGUAAAAUUCUUUUAUAAAUGAGGAAUAAGCUUUGUAGGAAAUGACGAAGUGAUGACGUUAAUUUAUGAAUAAGCCCCGGCUAAUUACGUGCCAGCAGCCGCGGUAAUACGUAAGGGGCGAGCGUUGUUCGGGAUUAUUGGGCGUAAAGGGUGAGUAGGCGGAUAUAUAAGUCUAUGCAUAAAAUACCACAGCUCAACUGUGGAACUAUGUUGG